GAUGAACGCUAGCGAUAGGCUUAACACAUGCAAGUCGAGGGGCAGCAUGGUCUUAGCUUGCUAAGGCUGAUGGCGACCGGCGCACGGGUGCGUAACGCGUAUGCAACUUGCCUCACAGAGGGGGAUAACCCGUCGAAAGACGGACUAAUACCGCGUACACUCUAUGUUGGGCAUCCAAUGUAGAGGAAAUGAAAUUCGCUGUGAGAUAGGCAUGCGUCCCAUUAGCUAGUUGGUGAGGUAACGGCUCACCAAGGCGACGAUGGGUAGGGGAACUGAGAGGUUGAACCCCCACACUGGUACUGAGACACGGACCAGACUCCUACGGGAGGCAGCAGUGAGGAAUAUUGGUCAAUGGGCGAGAGCCUGAACCAGCCAAGUCGCGUGAAGGAUGACUGUCUUAUGGAUGGUAAACUUCUUUUAUACGGGAAUAACAAGAGUCACGGAUGGCUCCCUGCAUGUACCGUAUGAAUAAGCAUCGGCUAACUCCGUG
rnacentral:rRNA from 1 species